GUUUUAUCUUUCUGUCACCUUCUCUUCCUCUGUCACCUUCUCUUUCUCUGUCACAUCUUUUCAAUCAACUGUGCCCACACAGAUGCCAGGAUGAGUACAUUUACCAGGUAAGAGUAUAAAACACUGAUUUCCUAACUGAUACACAGGUGAGACAGGCAGGACAAACAAGCUACUAGGUUAAGUGUUGAUCCCAUCCUCUAAUCCUUCUGAUGAGAUGCUUCAGUCCUUUUGGUGAGGAAGACAAUGGUUCAAACAGAUUGAUCCAUUUUGUGGAUGAGAUGUUUUUCUUCUGACUCCCUUACAAUUGUAACAGUUUUCAGUCCAGAGUUUUAUAUUUUAAAUCUUUGAGCUACUAUUGUUAUAAUUUAAAUAUUUGCUGUUACUAUCUAAAUUGUCCCAUCUUUAUCUGUGAUUUUGCUUCUGUUAUUUUACACUGUUCUAGCCUGUAUGCUUCCUUUCUGCUUUUUCUCAUCUCUGUCUUAUCAGAAGUCUAAGCUGGAGUUAGACAGCUGUACUGUGUCCAAACCAGAAUCUGGAUCACACACAGCUGAAACCCUGGAAGGAGGAUUACAGGAUAAACAUACUUGCUUCAGUAAGAAAAUAAUGAUGCAAAAAGCCAGCUUGUGUUACAACAGCUCCACAGAACAAAGAAUAAAGGACAUUUGGUGCCAGUCUUGCCGUGACUCCUCACAAAGGACACUGAAGAGAGCCAUAAACAGAAGAGAGACAUUGGCUUCCUGUUCCAGCCACUUGUCCUCAGCAGUCUAAAAUCAGCAUGAUGAACCUUUCAGCUGUUGCUGCAAUAUGCUACAGAAGAGGACAUCAUUACUCCGGCAAUACUAGUCCCGUGACAGUUUCAUCUCGAAUUCAGCCUGUAAAAUAUUUGGGGUAGUUGUCAAACACAUUUCUGCUUUUAGAUGAAUAUUUCUUAAUCCUUUAUUUAGUGAAUAUAUCUUUGUACAAGUUAAGAUAAGCAGUGUGUUUAAUAGUUUUCAUAAGGUGGUGGAUUAUCUGUACCAUGUUUCUCGUAAAUUGAAUCUGGGUGAAAAUACCCAAUGACCGGCUGGUUUCUCAUUAUUUUUCAAACACCAUACCACAG
rnacentral:lncRNA from 1 species